UGCGUAGGCGGCCUGGUAAGUCAGAGGUGAAAUGCACGAGCUUAACUGGUGAAUUGCCUUUGAAACUAUCAAGCUAGAAUUAUGUUGAGGUCAGCGGAAUGAGUCAUGUAGCGGUGAAAUGCAUAGAUAUGACUUAGAACACCAAUUGCGUAGGCAGCUGGCUGGGCAUACAUUGACGCUGAGGCACGAAAGCGUGGGGAGCGAACAGGAUUAGAUACCCUGGUAGUCC
rnacentral:rRNA from 1 species